AGAGUUUGAUCAUGGCUCAGGACGAACGCUGGCGGCGUGCUUAACACAUGCAAGUCGAACGGAAAGGCCCUGCUUUUGUGGGGUGCUCGAGUGGCGAACGGGUGAGUAACACGUGAGUAACCUGCCCUUGACUUUGGGAUAACUUCAGGAAACUGGGGCUAAUACCGGAUAGGAGCUCCUGCUGCAUGGUGGGGGUUGGAAAGUUUCGGCGGUUGGGGAUGGACUCGCGGCUUAUCAGCUUGUUGGUGGGGUAGUGGCUUACCAAGGCUUUGACGGGUAGCCGGCCUGAGAGGGUGACCGGCCACAUUGGGACUGAGAUACGGCCCAGACUCCUACGGGAGGCAGCAGUGGGGAAUAUUGCACAAUGGGCGGAAGCCUGAUGCAGCAACGCCGCGUGCGGGAUGACGGCCUUCGGGUUGUAAACCGCUUUCGCCUGUGACGAAGCGUGAGUGACGGUAAUGGGUAAAGAAGCACCGGCUAACUACGUGCCAGCAGCCGCGGUGAUACGUAGGGUGCGAGCGUUGUCCGGAUUUAUUGGGCGUAAAGGGCUCGUAGGUGGUUGAUCGCGUCGGAAGUGUAAUCUUGGGGCUUAACCCUGAGCGUGCUUUCGAUACGGGUUGACUUGAGGAAGGUAGGGGAGGAUGGAAUUCCUGGUGGAGCGGUGGAAUGCGCAGAUAUCAGGAGGAACACCAGUGGCGAAGGCGGUUCUCUGGGCCUUUCCUGACGCUGAGGAGCGAAAGCGUGGGGAGCGAACAGGCUUAGAUACCCUGGUAGUCCACGCUGUAAACGGUGGGUACUAGGUGUGGGGUCCAUUCCACGGGUUCCGUGCCGUAGCUAACGCUUUAAGUACCCCGCCUGGGGAGUACGGCCGCAAGGCUAAAACUCAAAGGAAUUGACGGGGCCCCGCACAAGCGGCGGAGCAUGCGGAUUAAUUCGAUGCAACGCGUAGAACCUUACCUGGGUUUGACAUGGAUCGGGAGUGCUCAGAGAUGGGUGUGCCUCUUUUGGGGUCGGUUCACAGGUGGUGCAUGGCUGUCGUCAGCUCGUGUCGUGAGAUGUUGGGUUAAGUCCCGCAACGAGCGCAACCCUUGUUCACUGUUGCCAGCACGUUAUGGUGGGGACUCAGUGGAGACCGCCGGGGUCAACUCGGAGGAAGGUGGGGAUGACGUCAAGUCAUCAUGCCCCUUAUGUCCAGGGCUUCACGCAUGCUACAAUGGCUGGUACAGAGAGUGGCGAGCCUGUGAGGGUGAGCGAAUCUCGGAAAGCCGGUCUCAGUUCGGAUUGGGGUCUGCAACUCGACCUCAUGAAGUCGGAGUCGCUAGUAAUCGCAGAUCAGCAACGCUGCGGUGAAUACGUUCCCGGGGCUUGUACACACCGCCCGUCAAGUCAUGAAAGUUGGUAACACCCGAAGCCGGUGGCCUAACCGUUGUGGGGGAGCCGUCGAAGGUGGGACUGGUGAUUAGGACUAAGUCGUAACAAGGUA
rnacentral:rRNA from 1 species